GCCGAAUUUAUUUUUGCAAUGCAAGUCUGAUGAUAAGGAUAUCGGUGAUAGACCGAUGAUGAAGGGACAAGAUUACACGUGGGACACGAAGAUAAACUUUGUUCGGUCGACCCUUUUCUACUGCAACGCACGAUGGGUGGACCACAAGAGAAUAACCUUCGACGCUUUUAGAGCCAAAAGAGAUGAUUCCCGGUGCAAGAAAAGUACCAUACUUCUUGCAUGUGGUCCGUGAGGAACGAUGGGAUUUAUUUCAGUAAUGAUAAUAUCACUUGGCAUAACGAAUACCCUUGGUAGAAUAUAAUCUACAAAUUUGUAUUCUCAUUGGAGAAUCAAAUUUA